GCACACGCUCACCGCCUCCCUGCGCGCCGCGGAACACAGCGCCCCGCCCGCUGGCCACCGCGCUGGGGCGAGUCCGCAGUUCAGGCGCGAGGCAAGCAGCCGAGGUCCGGGGCUGCGGCCGCGGCCGGGGCGGACCCGGGAGCUGGGCUUCCCAAAGCGUCGCGUGUGGGCAACGGCGGCCUCCUGGCCGCGUGGAACUGAGCCCUGCGCUGCAGCAUGAAGGCGGCGGCGGCGGCGGCGGCGGGCGCGCGGCCGUGAGCUCAGCCCGCGCUGCAGUGACGGGAGCGGCCGUGUCGGCCAGACCCCGAGAGUCCGUGAGACCCCGGCCGGGGCCGCUCCGCUGCUGUCAGCCCUCGGGCCUCCCAGCCAGACUGGUUCUGAACCGAUUUAUCAGGGGGUUGCGGAGAGGGCCGGCGAAGCGCCAGGAAAUCCCCAGGCUGAGGAGGCGCGGGGGCGUUGCAGGAAGGGGGAAGGGAAAAGGCAGAAAACCUGGAGAAUGAAAGCGAACUUCCAGGGGCGUCCCCAGCCUCCUGCAAAAGGGCAAUUUGCUGAUCGCCCACUUCCUCGCAGUUACGGGAUAGAGAGAAUCAUCACUGAGUCAAGCUUCGGCUGCUUAGGGCGGUGGGAAAAGUCAUUAUCUAUAAUAACCCGCCGGAAAUUUUGAGGAGAGCUACUGACUUGGGGGUUUCAGUCAUCUGAGGCUGGCUUCCGCUGUCCCCUUAGUUGUGGGUGGUGAUUUGCUUACUAAUCAGAUGGGAGCGGAUUCUGAAAAGAACAUUUAUAUUUGGGAAUCAACUCAGCUCAGCAUCAGACAUUACGAAUACUGCAGUUGGUCACAUUUUACUAUGUGAAGGGCAGAAAGGGAGCCCAACAGUCUUCAUAAGCCAGACCUAGUCUCUAAGGUCACCGGCACAGACGCAGGGUCUAAAGCAGGAAAGAGGUGCGACUGGAAAGGAGGUUAGACAGGGCCCUGCGGGAAUGGAUCUGCCCGGAGCCCUCGCCUGGUUUUGCUUGAGACUCCGACAAGACUCCCAAUGCUUCUCUCCCCGACCCUAUCCCCACUCCCUCCAUCCUGGAAAAGCCAGUGAGCAAAGUUAACUCUUUCUUCUAAGAAACCCUGAGUGAAAUCUUGCUCUUCCUUUCUGCUAGAGUCCUGAAACCCUUUCGCUUCUCAUUGUGGGUUCACCAGCACGUGGUCUUCGGACACUGAGAGCACCUUCGCUCUCAGCUGUGAUCCUAGCUAGCCCAGACACCAGUCUGUACCCAAAGGAAGAGUAGGAAGUUGCAAAGGGAAGCUGGCUAACAAGGGCUUCUUCUGCCCUACUUGGCAAAGGCCCAUACGGGUGGCCUCCGUGGAUAUGGAGCUCCUUCAUUUUGUUCCAAAAAGAGCUCUGCCAGGCUUUACCAUUGCCCUGGAGGUGCACAGGCGCCCGUAUACUCGAGCACAACCAUGGGCUCACCCCAAGCGCGCACACCUGCACCCACGCGUAAGGAAGAACCACACAGCUAUCUCUGUCGGGGAAGAACACGAGGAGUGAAGUGCUUUAGGUGGAAACUCCUCACAUCUCCUUUCUUUCCUCUGCUCCCCCUCUCUGCCCCUGGUACUCCGGAUCCAAUCCUUGGCUUAGGAAUCCACUCAAGCCACGUCUGGCUGCUUUGUUCCAGAGGAGCGCAGCUCCGAGACUGCACUUCAGCGGUGCAGCCUCCCUCCAGGUCGGCGAGCGGCGCCAGAUCCGGGACUUCAGGGUCUCCGCGGGAGCUUAGGAGGCUCAGGAUCUGAGUUGGAGAGCUGGAAGGCCAAACUCCGAGCCGCUGAGGGACUGCGCAGGAAGACCACAGAAAUAAACCAAAGGGACACCGCGGACAGAUGUACCAGAGGACACCACUGAAGUCCAGGAGAAUCUCCACCAAAACCAUCAGCGUUUUCCUUGUAGCUUUCUGUCCCUCGAAGUGGAAAGUUGAGGUUUCUGAGAAGUCCACGGAGAGAACCUGCAGCAAACUGAAGCCACAGACUCCGAAGGCAUAGGGAGAAAAAAUGCUUCCAUCCCCCUUUCACUUUAAACUUGAUCGCUUCUGGGACUUCACUGGAGGGCGGUGGAGUUGCACCAACCUGGAGUACAGGCAGAUCCCAGCGAGCACUUCCAAGUACUUUAGGACGUGGGGGUGACUCUUUUUUCUUCAGGAUUGUCCCACUUGCCACCCUUUCCAGCUGAGCUGAUAGGAACCAAUGAAAGUCUAGGCGAUGAGGAUUUUCCGUUACCUCAGGGAUCAAAGUAUAAAAUGUUGAAUGAGAAACCCGAAGACCUUGCAUCGCUGGGCUGAAUAACUUGUUUUCUUUUUUAUGGUGUCCAGACUGAGUUCAUUUUUCUGAGGACCAAUGGUGAUAAGUGUUGGUCUGCCUAUCUUCCCAGAAUAAUCCAAGAUUUGGGGAAAGAAAGAGUAUUUUGCUAAUUUCAGUUUUCUUUCACAUUAAAAAGUUCAACGUAUCUAGAACGGAACAAAACGGAGAAAGCAAAGAAUAAAGCAAAGAAACAUAUAUUGGGGAAAGGAUACUGUAUUCAGUAAAUUGUGCUGGAAAAAGUGGUAAGCCACAUGUAGAAGAAUGAAACUGGAUCCCCAGCUCUCACCUAAUACAAAAAUCGACUCAAGAUGCAUCAAAGACUUAAAUAUAAAACCUGAAACCUUGAAAAUUCUAGAAGAUAACACCAGAAAAACUCUUCUAAAUGUUGGC
rnacentral:lncRNA from 1 species